AGGGAUUUCGAGGCAGGGUUCUAUGUGAACCAUUUUGUAAAGGACUUGGGAAUUUGUUUGAAGGAGUGUCAAAACAUGGGUCUUGCUUUGCCAGGAUUGGCAUUGGCUCAACAACUUUAUUUGUCGCUUAAGGCUCACGGGGAAGGGAAUUUGGGCACCCAAGCACUUAUUUUGGCUCUGGAGAGGCUUAACAAUGUUUGUCUUGAAAAUCUGGCUUCUCAGAAUACUGCAGCUUAGCCUGGU
rnacentral:misc_RNA from 1 species